rnacentral:rRNA from 1 species
UACGAAGGGUGCAAGCGUUAAUCGGAAUUACUGGGCGUAAAGCGUGCGUAGGCGGUUGGCUAAGUCAGAUGUGAAAGCCCUGGGCUCAACCUGGGAAUGGCAUUUGAAACUGGCUGGCUAGAGUGUGAUAGAGGAUGGCGGAAUUCCCGGUGUAGCGGUGAAAUGCGUAGAGAUCGGGAGGAACAUCCGUGGCGAAGGCGGCCAUCUGGAUCAACACUGACGCUGAGGCAUGAAAGCGUGGGGAGCAAACAGG